rnacentral:lncRNA from 1 species
UUCUAGAGAUUUGAAUCAAAUUUGAUUUGAUUCAAUAUGGAAAGAGAUUUGGCUAAUUAUGGAAAGUGUUUUAGGUUUAUCUCCUUUGUUUGAAAGAGUCCCUCUUCACAAGGACUCUUCCCUCCUCUCAUGCGCCAACUUCCUCCAUCCUUAUCCCUUCUUUUUGUUGCCCCUUUUGAGGUUAUUUUCAUGCUCUCCACN